UACGAAGGGGGCUAGCGUUGCUCGGAAUCACUGGGCGUAAAGCGCACGUAGGCGGAUUGUUAAGUCAGGGGGUGAAAUCCUGGAGCUCAACUCCAGAACUGCCUUUGAUACUGGCGAUCUCGAGUCCGGGAGAGGUGAGUGGAACUGCGAGUGUAGAGGUGAAAUUCGUAGAUAUUCGCAAGAACACCAGUGGCGAAGGCGGCUCACU
rnacentral:rRNA from 1 species